rnacentral:rRNA from 1 species
UACGGAGGAUCCAAGCGUUAUCCGGAAUCAUUGGGUUUAAAGGGUCCGUAGGCGGUUUGGUAAGUCAGUGGUGAAAGCCCAUCGCUCAACAGUGGAACGGCCAUUGAUACUGCCAGACUUGAAUUAUUAGGAAGUAACUAGAAUAUGUAGUGUAGCGGUGAAAUGCUUAGAGAUUACAUGGAAUACCAAUUGCGAAGGCAGGCUACUACUAAUGGAUUGACGCUGGUGGACGAAAGCGUGGGUAGCGAACAGG